rnacentral:misc_RNA from 1 species
AAGUCGUAACAAGGUUUCCGUAGGUGAACCUGCGGAAGGAUCAUUAACACGUAUCCAAACGUUAAACCCCCCUGUGAACCUUCAGUCGUACUCGUACGUCCGUUAGAAAAAGCAGCAAUCCCUGGUAAAUCAUCGCCGAACAGUUUUCGAUUCAGGGACGUCUGCAAGGAGCGUGCAUGUUGUGCGUGUAAGUGGCCUGGCAUCCCCAAGCAGUUAGUGUCUGAAAGUGUCACUAACGUUAGUGUCUGAAAGUGUCACUAACAUGUGUAAGGAUGACGCAGUCACGAUCGUUGGAGGCCCACACGGCCGACGACCGGGUCACUGGGUGCAAGCCCCUUUAUCACACCCCGGUCGAACGCCGAAACCGAACAACUGUUAACAAUGGAUAUCUUGGUUCUC